GAAUCUGCCCUCAGGAGGGGGACAACAGCUGGAAACGGCUGCUAAUACCCCAUAUGCCGCGAGGUGAAAUGAAUUUCGCCUGAGGAUGAGCUCGCGUCUGAUUAGCUAGUUGGUGUAGGUAAUGGCUCACCAAGGCAUCGAUCAGUAGCUGGUCUGAGAGGAUGAUCAGCCACACUGGGACCGAGACACGGCCCAGACUCCUACGGGAGGCAGCAGUGGGGAAUUUUCCGCAAUGGGCGAAAGCCUGACGGAGCAACGCCGCGUGAGGGAUGAAGGCCUCUGGGCUGUAAACCUCUUUUAUCAAGGAAGAAGAUCUGACGGUACUUGAUGAAUAAGCCACGGCUAAUUCCGUGCCAGCAGCCGCGGUAAUACGGGAGUGGCAAGCGUUAUCCGGAAUUAUUGGGCGUAAAGCGUCCGCAGGCGGCCCUUCAAGUCUGCUGUUAAAAAGUGGAGCUUAACUCCAUCAUGGCAGUGGAAACUGUUGGGCUUGAGUGUGGUAGGGGCAGAGGGAAUUCCCGGUGUAGCGGUGAAAUGCGUAGAUAUCGGGAAGAACACCAGUGGCGAAGGCGCUCUGCUGGGCCAUCACUGACGCUCAUGGACGAAAGCCAGGGGAGCGAAAGGGAUUAGAUACCCCUGUAGUCCUGGCCGUAAACGAUGAACACUAGGUGUCGGGGGAAUCGACCCCCUCGGUGUCGUAGCCAACGCGUUAAGUGUUCCGCCUGGGGAGUACGCACGCAAGUGUGAAACUCAAAGGAAUUGACGGGGGCCCGCACAAGCGGUGGAGUAUGUGGUUUAAUUCGAUGCAACGCGAAGAACCUUACCAGGGUUUGACAUCCUGCGAAUCUCUUGGAAACAGGAGAGUGCCUUCGGGAACGCAGUGACAGGUGGUGCAUGGCUGUCGUCAGCUCGUGUCGUGAGAUGUUGGGUUAAGUCCCGCAACGAGCGCAACCCACGUCUUUAGUUGCCAGCAUUUAGUUGGGCACUCUAGAGAGACUGCCGGUGAUAAACCGGAGGAAGGUGUGGAUGACGUCAAGUCAUCAUGCCCCUUACAUCCUGGGCUACACACGUACUACAAUGCUACGGACAAAGGGCAGCAAGUUCGCGAGGACAAGCAAAUCCCAUAAACCGUGGCUCAGUUCAGAUCGUAG
rnacentral:rRNA from 1 species